UGGCUCAGUGGUAGAGUGCUUGCCUUGCAAGCAUGAGGCCCUGGGUUCGAUUCCUCAG
rfam:Dipodomys ordii contig_34922, whole genome shotgun sequence.